AGGGGCAUCUAUGGGGCAGCCAUGGGGAUCACGGCCCUAUGGGGCAGCUAUGGGGCAGCUAUAGGGCAGGUAUGGGGAUCACGGCCCUAUAGGGACAUCUAUGGGGCAGAUGGGGGUCACGGCCCUAUGGGGCAGCUAUGGGGCAGCUAUGGGGCAGAUGGGGAUCACGGCCCUAUAGGGGCAUCUAUGGGGCAGAUGGGGGUCACGUCCCUAUGGGGGCAUCUAUGGGGCAGCUAUGGGGAUCACGGCCCUAUGGAGACAUCUAUGGGGCAGCUAUGGGGCUCAUGCCCCAAUAGAGGCAUCUAUGGGGCAGAUGGGGGCUGGCAGCGCUAUGGGGCGCCCCACAUCCCCCCUCCCUCUCCCCCCCCCUCCCCCCCCAGCUGCCCCACAUCCCCCAUUGACGCUGAUGGGCCCCGACACUUAUGGGUCGCGGUUACGUCACCCCAUGGGGCGCCAAGUAGGGCGCCCCCCGGAGCCCCCAUUAAAAAUAGCCCAAAGCCCUCAUUAGCAAUUAGGGGGGAUUAGCAAUUAGGGGCCCCACGGCGGGGCCGCCCCAUAGCGUCUAUGGGGAGCUGCCCCCUAAUCCUUCCCACCCCCCACCCCAUAAUCCCGGAUUUUCGGGGUCGCUUCGGGGGAGCCGCGAUUGGGGGCAGCGGAUCCUAAGCUGCACACGGGGAAAAGGGAGCUUGGGGGGCGGGUGUGGGGCGGGUGUGGGGUGGGGCGGAUGUGGGGUGGGUGUGGGGCGGGUGUGGGGCCGGGACCCCAAAGUGGUCGUCCCAUAANCGGGUGUGGGGUGGGGCAGAUGUGGGGUUGAUGUGGGGCGGAUGUGGGUCAGAUGUGGGGCGGGUGGAGGGCGGAUGUGGGGCCGGGACCCCAAAGUGGUCGUCCCAUAAUGGAGGCAGGUAGGCGCUAUGGGGUGGAGGUGGUUGUGGGGCGGAGGUGGUUGUGGGGU
rnacentral:lncRNA from 1 species